GAAGGACAACUGACAACACUUGGCAGUUGUGGUUCCUAUAGUGGUGAUUUUGCAUUGUGGCAGAUGAAAGUGGGCAACAAUUUCUGUCUGAUGUGAACUUUAGAAAAGGUGAUGUUUAUUCAUGGGAUCUAUGAAACAGUGUUGGGUUUCAAGUAGUGGACGACGUACUAGACUAUAAGAUUCUAUUUUUAAAGAUGGUUUUCUUCAAUGGAUUGCGUAGAAAACACCAAACUUUCCAGCGGCAUAUAGAUAUGAACGUCCGACACUUGACCACACCGGUAUUUUGAAAUUCUCUUCUCUCUCGCAACGGUGUAAGAUGGCCAGUGACAACUCAAAGCAAAUUAGCCACUGCAAUGGCCUCUAAAUGCUGGCAGAGUUCCAGGCAAUAUUGUCAAGUUAGAGAGUAAGAUGGUCUCUACACUAUCCCACAGUAGCUAGCUACAGAGCUUCAAGCAAGCUGUACAAAGCUUGAUGCGUUCUACACAGCGACAGAACUCCAAGCAAGCUGUGAAGUUCGAUCGUAACAAAAGGUAGACUAGCGUACGCACUCCCACAAUAGUUCAAAAGAGCGCCGACCAAGAAAGACACUCCCAAAAGAUAGUCGCUAGCGAGUUCCAAUGAAACUAUCUUAAAAGUUCAAGAUAGCUUCUACUCUCUCACAAUACUUAGCCAGCUACAAUGCUCCAAGCAAGUUGUUAAGUUCUAACGAGUUUAAAUGUCUUUCUACAUAUUCCCACAAUACAACCAGCGACUGAGCAUCCAUAAGCUGUCAAAAUAACAGCAAAUCGCGCACUGUUCUUCUGGUUAAUCAAGUCACGCACCACUUACGAAACUAAAGGAGGUACUCUCCACAAGAGAGAUAAAAGGUACAAACCCACCAGAGAAGAAGGAACAGUAAGAAAAGGGUAUUAACCCACCAGAGAAUAGUAGUGGCGAAAUUAUCCGUUUUCUAAUUUACCUUUCUAAUUAAAAAUAUUUAUUGAAAUCAAUAAAUAAGUUAGAAUAAUGAAACAUUUUUAGGUAAAUAAAAUAUAGGAAAAUAUAAAAAACACUAUCCUGGGAAAUUUUUACAAUUUAUGGUUUUACUCCAUUUGCUAGAAAACUCGUAGGAAAUUAACAUCUUUGUACUCUAUACAUACUUGGAGAGUAUUUUGAUGCACGCAGCAUAUUAUUACAGGAAGUAUAUAGCUAACAUAUGGGCACAAUAAUGAAUUUACUAUUAAUUUCCAAAAGAUAAAGGGCACUUUUCGAUUGUUUGCACAAAGGGAGGUUCCUCUUCAGCCAACUCUAGAGUUAAUUGAAGAGAUCAUCCUCCUUUCUGCAAACAAUCGAUAAGCUCCCUUUAUCUUUUGGAAAUAAGUCUCUCAAAUUUAUUAUUGUGGUCAUAUAUAAAUUUUUAUAUACUUACUAUCACAAUAUAUAAAUAUGCAGCAUCAUAGAUGGAAUUAAGCGUCUCAGUGGAGUGAUCGGUAUGUGGUCUUGGCCUUCCACCUUGGUUUCCGCGAGUUCGAUUAUCGAGCAUUCCAUUGAGGUGAGAAAUGUGCAUUAAUUUUCUGGUGACAAAAGUUCACCCUCGACGUGGUUCGGAAGUCGCGUAAAGCCGUUGGUCCCGUUGCUGAAAAACCACUGGCUCCAUGCAACGUAAAAAUACCAUACAAAACAAACAGAUGGAAUUAAAUAGGCAUAAAUGGAGUUGAAAAUUUUUGUUGGGCAACAAUUGCUUCAGAGUGGAGUUUUUCUAAUUAGUCACUCAAUCGACCUGGAACUUCUCAGUUUUUCUGUCUCUUCUGGCGAUUUUCCUUUUCUGGACUUACUAUUCUCAUUGUACCUGAAAAUACAUAUCUAUUUACUUAUCAGUCACAUCUAAAAAACUAGACUUAUUUAUUAGGCAUCAUUACACCAAGAAUGGUAAUUCUGGAAUGGCCACAAAUAAUGUAUAUCAGGAUCAUCUUCACAAAGUCAACGAAAAGACAAAUUGAAAAGGGCAGCAGCAAAUGUAAAAUCUUUGUUCUUUAUAAUUGGCCAGUGAGAUAUUCAUCAAAAUAGUGUAAAAACAAAACUAAAAUAUACCACUAAGCAAUUUUAAGA